ACGGCUCAGUAACACGUAGUCAACCUAACCUAUGGACGGGAAUAACCUCGGGAAACUGAGAAUAAUGCCCGAUAGAACACUAUACCUGGAAUGGUUUGUGUUCCAAAUGAUUUAUCGCCAUAGGAUGGGACUGCGGCCUAUCAGUUUGUUGGUGAGGUAAUGGCCCACCAAGACUAUUACAGGUACGGGCUCUGAGAGGAGUAGCCCGGAGAUGGGUACUGAGACACGGACCCAGGCCCUAUGGGGCGCAGCAGGCGAGAAAACUUUGCAAUGUGCGAAAGCACGACAAGGUUAAUCCGAGUGAUUUGUGCUAAACGAAUCUUUUGUUAGUCCUAGAAACACUAACGAAUAAGGGGUGGGCAAGUUCUGGUGUCAGCCGCCGCGGUAAAACCAGCACCUCAAGUGGUCAGGAUGAUUAUUGGGCCUAAAGCAUCCGUAGCCGGCUCUGUAAGUUUUCGGUUAAAUCUGUACGCUUAACGUACAGGCUGCCGGGAAUACUGCAGAGCUAGGGAGUGGGAGAGGUAGACGGUACUCGGUAGGAAGUGGUAAAAUGCUUUGAUCUAUCGAUGACCACCUGUGGCGAAGGCGGUCUACCAGAACACGUCCGACGGUGAGGGAUGAAAGCUGGGGGAGCAAACCGGAUUAGAUACCCGGGUAGUCCCAGCUGUAAACUAUGCAAACUCAGUGAUGCAUUGGCUUGUGGCCAAUGCAGUGCUGCAGGGAAGCCGUUAAGUUUGCCGCCUGGGAAGUACGUACGCAAGUAUGAAAACUUAAAGGAAUUGGCGGGGGAGCAC
rnacentral:rRNA from 1 species